GAGGGGAUAGCUCAGUGGUAGCGUGCAUGCCUAGCAUGCAUGAGGUCCUGGGUUCAAUUCCUGGUACCUCUA
rnacentral:tRNA from 1 species